CCCUUAGAUUUCCGGGGCCGCACGCGCGCUACACUGAAGGAAUCAGCGUGGCUUUCUCCCUGACCCGAAAGGGUUGGGAAACCCGUUGAAUCUCCUUCGUGAUAGGGAUUGGGGCUUGAAAUUGUUCCCCAUGAACGAGGAAUUCCCAGUAAGCGCGAGUCAUAAGCUCGCGUUGAUUACGUCCCUGCCCUUUGUACACACCGCCCGUCGCUACUACCGAUUGAACGGUUUAGUGAGGGCCUCGGAUUGGUCUCGGCCCGCUCUUUACCGGGCGGCGCCGUUGGUCGAGAAGACGCUCGAACUUGAUCGUUUAGAGGAAGUAAAAGUCGUAACA
rnacentral:rRNA from 1 species